rnacentral:rRNA from 1 species
ACACAUGCAAGUCGAGGGGCAGCAUAAUGGAUAGCAAUAUCUAUGGUGGCGACCGGCGCACGGGUGCGUAACGCGUAUGCAACCUACCUUUAACAGGGGGAUAACACUGAGAAAUUGGUACUAAUACCCCAUAAUAUCAUAGAAGGCAUCUUUUAUGGUUGAAAAUUCCGAUGGUUAGAGAUGGGCAUGCGUUGUAUUAGCUAGUUGGUGGGGUAACGGCUCACCAAGGCGACGAUACAUAGGGGGACUGAGAGGUUAACCCCCCACACUGGUACUGAGACACGGACCAGACUCCUACGGGAGGCAGCAGUGAGGAAUAUUGGUCAAUGGACGCAAGUCUGAACCAGCCAUGCCGCGUGCAGGAUGACGGCUCUAUGAGUUGUAAACUGCUUUUGUACGAGGGUAAACGCAGAUACGUGUAUCUGUCUGAAAGUAUCGUACGAAUAAGGAUCGGCUAACUCCGUGCCAGCAGCCGCGGUAAUACGGAGGAUUCAAGCGUUAUCCGGAUUUAUUGGGUUUAAAGGGUGCGUAGGCGGUUUGAUAAGUUAGAGGUGAAAUUUCGGGGCUCAACCCUGAACGUGCCUCUAAUACUGUUGAGCUAGAGAGUAGUUGCGGUAGGCGGAAUGUAUGGUGUAGCGGUGAAAUGCUUAGAGAUCAUACAGAACACCGAUUGCGAAGGCAGCUUACCAAACUAUAUCUGACGUUGAGGCACGAAAGCGUGGGGAGCAAACAGGAUUAGAUACCCUGGUAGUCCACGCAGUAAACGAUGAUAACUCGUUGUCGGCGAUACACAGUCGGUGACUAAGCGAAAGCGAUAAGUUAUCCACCUGGGGAGUACGUUCGCAAGAAUGAAACUCAAAGGAAUUGACGGGGGCCCGCACAAGCGGA